CAAUAGCGUAUAUUAAAGUUGUUGCGGUUAAAAAGCUCGUAGUUGGAUUUCUGUUGGGAACGACCGGUCCGCCCAUUGGGUGUGCAUCUGGCUUGUUCUCGGCAUCUUCUUGGUGAACGUUGCUGCACUUGACUGUGUGGAGCGCUACCCACGGACUUUUACUUUUGUAGGAAAUUAAGAGUGUUUCUAAGCAGGCAUAUGCCUUGAAUACAUUAGCAUGGAAUAAUAAGAUAGGACCUCGGUUCUAUUUUGUUUGGUUUCUUAGAGCUGAGGUAAUGAUUAAUAGGGAUAUUGGGGGCGAUUCGUAUUUAACUGUCAGAGGUGAAAUUCUUGGAUUUG
rnacentral:rRNA from 1 species